CCCCGCGUGAAAAAUUGGGUAAUGAGCACCCGUCGGUAGAGUGCGUCUAAUUUACUCGCUGAUGACGACAUGUCGCACCCGUGCCACUCAUGGGCAGUUCACGGUUUGGUCCCCAAUCUAACUCAUGAGUAGGUCUUAUUGACCAGAGGCAAGGGUGAUGAAACUCAUGAGUCCUUUCCAAGAAUGUCAGCCUCGAUGGUGGACUUGGGUCCAAUGGCAUUGUCUUGGAUUUCAUCAAAAAAAAAACCAUCAUAUGAAGUGCUGACAAUAUCAUUCGUAAAGUUAACUCGAUUUCGUUUAAAUAAGUGACUUUGCAGGGAUAAGUGCUUGGUCGUUUCUUGUUUUUAAUGGAUUGUUUUCUUGGUCUAAA